UUCGCCCUUUUCCGGUUGAUCCCGCCGGACCCUAUUGCUAUCGGGGUGAGACUAAGCCAUGCAAGUUGAGCGCUUCCUAGCUAUGUUGGAAGAGCAGCAAACGGCUCCAUAACACGUAGUUAAUCUGCCCUUAGGACAGACACAACCUUGGGAAACUGAGGCUAAUAUCUGAUAGGUGGAAACGCCUGGAAUGGUCUUCCGCUUAAAGGUUUUUGGACACAUGCUUCCAAAGAUGCCUAAGGAUGAGACUGCGGCCGAUCAGGCUGUUGGUGAGGUAACGGCUCACCAAACCUAUAACCGGUACGGGCCCUGAGAGGGGGAGCCCGGAGAUGGGAACUGAGACAAGGUCCCAGGCCCUACGGGGCGCAGCAGGCGCGAAACCUCCACAAUGCGCGAAAGCGUGAUGGGGUUACCCCGAGUGCCGUCCGUUGAGGAGGGCUUUUCUCCAGUGUAAGGAGCUGGAGGAAUAAAGGGGGGGCAAGACUGGUGUCAGCCGCCGCGGUAAUACCAGCCCCCUGAGUUAUAGGGACGAUUAUUUAGCCUAAAGCGUUCGUAGCCGGCUUUGCAAGUCUUUCGUUAAAUCUAACGACUCAAUCGUUAGGCCGCGGAAGAUACUGCUAGGCUUGAGGGCGGGAGAGGUCGACGGUAUUCCCGGGGUAGGGGUGAAAUCCAAUAAUCCCGGGAGGACCACCAGUG
rnacentral:rRNA from 1 species